CUGUAACCUGAGAGGAAACAAGAAACAAUUAUUUUCUAUAUGCUAACUACUUUGGAUGUAAAUUAAAAAAAAAUAAAAUUAUAAAAAAAUAAAAAUGUUAAAUAAAAAUAAAAAUAUAUUAUCUUAGAAAAAGAAUAAAGCCAAUGACUUAAAAAAAAAAAAAAAGAAUUAUCUGAGUGAUUUCAGAUGUUUUGUGGGGCCAGCACUAAAAACACUGAUGUCUAUCUACCACUACAAGUGUGCCCUCUAUGAAACACAUGUAACCAUCUGCCAGGCCUCCCCAGCUGGUAACCGCUUCAGUCCUUCUCACUGAAUGAAUUGUCCAAUGCCCAUUGAUAUGGACCACCGUUGCUAAUGCUGUUGCCCCAAGAAUUAUAAAGUGAAAUAAGACAGGUCCUUUAUUUGGAGAUGUAAGCCAGGAGAAGAAAGCCACAGACUGUAUCCCCAUCAUUUCUAUGGAGAGCAAAGGUAAAGAGUUGACAGUUUCCCUUUGUCCCAAGUCUGUACUUAUAUCCUGAUUGGGUAUCGAUAUUAUUCGUAAGUGGAAUUCUUUUUUUAAUUUAUUUCAUUUUCCUUGCAGCUGAUCUAAGUGUACAAGUUUAUUGCUUCCUCAAAAAGCUUUGAUUUUACCCAGUUUUCUCCAUGAGUUUGAGUCUUAAGCUAGAUUUAUUUUUUUGUUAGAUGUCAGAAAAAAUACGACAAAUGCUAACCUAACUACAGACCAUGUCCACUAAGAAAUACUUUUACUAUAUAUGGUAGAGAGGGAAAAGAAUGGGGAAAAUCAUUUAUUGGGCACUAAUAUAUAUUUCAGUCAUUCAUUUCAGCUUCCAAAGUCUUGCCUUCCACUCUUAUUCCAGAACUAGUAGCUAAAGCCAAUAGGUACUACGUUAGUCUAACUGGAAAUGAACAAUUCAUAACUUUGUAAGUGUGUGACUUAUUUUUGGGAUUACAUAAAAAUAAUUUAGCUUCAUUACAAGGAGCCCCUUCCCCUUAUCAUAGAAUGGAAAUGUCAGUGUAACAGGAACAUAAGGGGCCUUUUAAGGCAAAGAUUCACAGUGAAUUGAUGUCUUCCUGGUUCUAGGAGAGAUUCUUAACAAGAGGAUUAGCAGUUGAUGAGCCCCCACUGCUGAGCACUGUGGGGAUCACCUACGGAACAGAGAAGCUCUGAAUCCUGCAGUUGUAUAAAUUGAAAAGCAUGCCUUUCAUUAUUUCACCUUUAUAAAAUACAAGGCCAGUUUUUACUACAGAAUAGAUGACUUUUUUCCCCAGGAGUCACUCUGUACAGAACGACUACCAUAGCUGGGAUCAGACUCACUAAGCAAAGCAGAAGAAUCUUGAGUUUCUUAGAGAAAGUCAAAUCAAAGAGGAAUGGGCACAGCCUGGUCAACUAAAUGAGGUACUUCAUUUAAUUCAUUUACAAAAACCCGUUUGCGCUCAAACUAGUCCAAGCCUCCUCCUAGGAAGAAAUGACUCAAACAUCUUAAUAGAAUUAAACCUGGAACUUUACUUGCAUUGAUUGGAACUCACCAUCAUUUGCUUAUGAAAGGGCUGCAAAAUAGGUCGGUCUGUGGAUCAAAUUUUAUUUAUAAUGAAUUCUAAGGAAUCUGUGCCCCAAUCCACUUACUAGCAGAAAUUAUGUUUCAUGAAAUGGGUGUUAAAAUGGUAUUCCAUGAAGCUUGGAAGUACUUUGGCUACAUUGUUUAAUUAUUGUUAUUAAUAAGGGUCAUUCUGUCUUUUAUCAUAAAAGGGAUCAAAAGAAAUAGAACUUGGCUUCUAUUAAAAACAUUGCCAGUUGGGGAAAAACAUGAUUUUUUUGGUUUGUUCCUAUCACUCUCACCCUCUCCCACUCCCUACCAGAUGCCAUUGUCUGAUGUUGUCCUUUCCUUCUGUCCUGAUGUAUCUACUUCUGGGACUUUCCAGACUUAUUUCAGAUUCCUUCUGGGUAGUACCCAACCACAAACAUCAGUCGUAAGUUAGUAGCCUGAUUAUGCAUUUAUUCGUUGGGUAUCAGUGCCAUUAUUCUUUGAAGAAAUACUUCCAUCCUGCCCUUCUUAGGAAGUCCUUUGACACAUUAGGUAAGUACAGAUAUGUCCUGUCAUCACAGCUUUGUGUGACAGAAAGAACCCAGUCAAGUCUCAGUGUAAAUCCCAGCUCCUAGGACUCUGUUUCAUCACCUGUAAAACGGGGGUGAUAUGUACCACCUUCCAGCCCCUUCUAUUGGUGCAGGAGGCCUUUCCUUCCCAGACAAGGUAGGCCGGAGACUUCCAGAUGGGUCAAAGUCUCAGAGGCGUCUUAAGCAAGUGAUGAAGCUAAGCCAGUGAAUGCAAACACAGCUUGACAAAUACCAGUACUUUCUUUAAACCACAGUAAUACCCCUAAGAAGGUGUUUGCUCCCAUCAUCCCUAAGCAAAGAUAUUCUUUGGCUUCCUACUACAUACCAAAAUUGAGAGACCUUUUCCAUCCAGUAACAGUAACCACACUGUCAACAUUUUGAAAUCGGUUUUCAUUAUUAAAUUAGAAAAAGAAAAUGCCUGCCUCUGUCUUAAACCACAAGGGGGCAGGGUUGAUGUGCUUUAUAUAUACUUUUAAGUAGAUUGUGCAUACCUGAUUAUAGGGACAGGCAGAUAAAUACUCUUUAUGAAACCUAGUGUAAAUGGACUUGUAAGCCCUCCAAAUUAAGAAUUACUUAACAUGCUAUAAUUUGCAUGUUAAGUGACAGUUUAUAAAGCUCCUCGUUGGCAUUAUUAGGUCACCAUGAUAUUUCAGAGCCCACCUUAAUUCAGUGCUUAGCAAAUAACUUUUACUGCUAGACUGAAAUUCCAAAAAUAGUGCAGUUAUGUGGAGCAUAUUCCUUGUCCAGCUUGCAGUCACGCGUUGAUGUUGAUGGAGGAGAAAUUUUACAAUAGGCAGAGGAACACAUUAAAGGUAGAAAUACAGUAGAAAGGCUAAAUGUGCCUCGUGAGGAAAAUCUAGUGGUGAAAUACCAGAAUAGUAAUCAGGAGAAGACCCAAAACAAAGCUUGAUGAUGUGAAAAAGGAGAAGGACCCAAUAAUCUAAAUAAAUGCUAAUAAUGACUUUUUAAACAUCUUAUCACAGAGAAUCAGCCUACUUCAUGAACUGGCUGAGACAUUUGACACAGCCCUGUGAAUUCACCACUAAUCUUUGUGUGCUUGUGUUUUUGGGUGGGGGGCAGUGGGGGGAGGGUGCUGGAGGUUGGGGAUAGAGGUAUGAAAGGAGGGAGGGGCAUCCAUUUUAGGGAUAUGGAACCCAGAGAAGCCCUUAAUUGUCCUUGCACUCAGCCCUGUACCCCCUGUGCUUCUGACUCUUCCCUUCCUCAACUGCCUCUGUCUCUUUAGCAGGUGGAAAGCUUUGGCGUGAAGCACGCAGAAAAUUCCAGGAAUUGUGCAGCUAUAUAGCAGGCCUAUGAGGCAAACCUCUUCAACACAAACACACACCUUCUACUUGGGCUUGAUGGGGUAGCAGAACUAUUGUGCCAAUUUCUGAUACGUUUCUUCCCCCAAGCCAUAUGAAUGGAGAAAACUAAACUCUGGCAAUGCAGAAGAGCCUUCCACACUCUGCCCAAAGAGACACAGCCUGGUUAAAUACAUUUGAACUCCCUGAAUCCAUCACCAUCACAAGCAGUAUGAUGGUUUUUAAAGCAAGGUCCCUGAACCGGCAGCAGCAUCUCCUUGGGAAAGAUUAACCAGUCAAGGCACACUAAAUCAAACUCUGGGGAUGUGUUUUAACAAACCCUCCAGCGAGUCUGCCAUACAUGUUCGAGAACAAACACUCUUGCCACAUUUAGCCUGUCUGUCUAUGACAAAGGCUAGAUAGCUGUCAAAAACCAGACUAGACUGGGAAGGUUCCCAGGACCAGAUCAUUUGGCAGAGUUGCAGGCUGUGAGGGGUUUGAAGCUAAUGGUGCCAGGUCACCAGCCCAGGACUAGAAAAAAUGCAAAAUGGCAUGUUCAGGGUUCUCUGGAUCUAUGAUAUUGUGUGACAAGUGGCAAGCAAACUUGGCAUUUUCUAAAUGGGUGAUGAUGUAACAGAGUCAUAACCUGUUUUCCUGGAUCUCUUGCCAGAUUUCUAGGGCUUCAACAUGUAAAAUGUGAAGUACUGUGGAUUUCAUACCCCUACACUGAGUAGCAUACCUCAUGCUCUCUCUUAUAUGAACUGACAAGCACUGUAACUCUCACAUGCUGCAGAUAUUCAUACAGGGAAAAUUCUUCAUCAUUAGUUCUGGUACUAAAAAUGAGGCUGUACCGAGAAAACAAACAGGGACUUGCAUUUUCUCAACCCAAACAUUUUGCCAGAUACCAUGUUUUGUGUUAAGAGGAAUUAAUAAGAAAAAUCUUACAAACCUAGGUGCACCUGUUUUAUAUAUUCAAUCAAUGAGGCUUUGUUUUUAUUCCAGAAGAAUGGAAGCUUCUCCUCAUGAGGAUAUUUACAGCACGACAGCUCCAAUGUAAUUUCAAAACACUGGGCCCAGAUGUAGUUGUAAUCUUGCAUUCCACCUAAACACAAGCAUAUUUAAUUUUUUAAGGUCUAAAAUUGGAACAGAGUCAAGUAUCCUGUACCUUGGGGACAAAUGAAUCCGUUGCAAAGAAAGUACAUUUAAACAGGGAAAGAUGAAUUUGACAUAUUAGCAUAUAAAGUCACGGCCUGCCAUUUUAUUACCCAGGCAUGAACAGGCAAUCCUAAAUGUUCCCAUAUGGGUAACUGGAUCAGAGCUAAGGUUCAACUGUGCAUCAAAAUCAACUGAGGGGCAGGGGAAGGGUCAGCCUUUUUUUUCCCCCCGAUCAUACAUUACAAAAAGGAUUCAUCAAUGUACAUUUCUUCUGUGAAAAUCAUUUUAAACUGAGAGUGAUACUUCUAAAAAAUGUUUUUGCAAACCAUUCAUAAAUACACAUGUAAGCUAAGUAUACUCAUUCGGCGGAAUAAUAGUGGCUGACAUUUAGUGAGUGUUCACUAUUACUGGGCACCGUUUGAAGAGUUUGUCGCCCAUAUUUUACAGAUGGGGAAACAAUCGCUUACGGUAAGUAACGUGCCAGUGAAGGCCGAGCCCAGAGCACAGGCUGUCUUGCGGGCCCCGUGCUCUUAUGACACGAAACUGCUUCAGGGGAUGAAAGAAAGGCUGCUGUGCUAACUUUCGGGAGAGAAGGGACCCAGGCCCCCUUGCGUCCGGGGCUGCCGUCACCUGUGCUCAGUUUCUGGUUCUUACCUCUGAAAACCCAGUUUUCAAAAGGGUAUAAUCAUAUUUCCUAUCUUCUAAGAUGCAAGAUUUUCAUAUUUUAAAAUCUCUGAAUUGGAUGUGUCUUAAAUUUGAUGGCUAAAAACCAUCAUUGUGGCAUGAGUUUGGCCAGAAACAUUUGUUUUUUCUUCCUUGGUGGUACCGUGUAUUUUCCAACCAGUGGCAUCUUGGAUUUUGAAAUAUGGUAACUUUGAAGGAAGGACUUUCGGCCAGAUUUCAACUUGUUGUACUUGAUAAUCUGCCUAUAAAAUACAUUCUCAAUUCCAUCAGGGUAUUUCGGAAGUACUGAAUUAGAAAAAAAAACUCAUACUAAUAGUCAAAAUACAUCAAAAUAUUAUCUAGAUUAAUAUCUACGUAGAUCUAGAUUCUAGCAGGAAGAAUUUCUAUGUCCUUUCUAGAUCCUUUACUCACCUUCUAAGUUUUGUAUUUCUCUCUGAGAUCAUUUUCACCAAGAAAUAGAAAACAGAAAAAAGGACGAGAAUAAUAAAACAGAAGCCCUUGGCUGGACGGCUCUCGGACAGAAAGAAUUUAAAUGCCAAAACAGGUGUACAGAGCACGCAGGGGUGAGAAUGCUUACUUGUGGAGAGCGUGUGCGCCUGUGGAUGAGGCACGCCGGGCCCCGAGGACAAAACCUCCAGGCUGAGCCAGGAUGCUGUGUUCUAAGCUCCUCAACGUAGCUGGCUCUGCCUGCAUUUUCCCUCAGGAGACACAGCUGACACACAGCGACACUCGAAACAAUUCCCAACGGCGACACCAGGUUCCUAGCUAACCUCCCGCAAGCACACCUGGAUGUGUCCGGAAGGUGACAGACAGGGCGGGAGGGAGCCCUGUCCUCCCUGGGGGAGUGCUGAGCAGGGACUAGCCUUGCGGGGCGGGGCGGGCUGUGCCUUGUCCAACAGAGAGUGGGGGUGCAGUGCUGUCUCGCUGGCCCUGCAGCUUCCAGUCGUGGUCUGUGCUAAUUCACAUCACCUGGAAAGCUGGCAGAGACACACAAGUACCAGCUUGUGCAAGGCUACCUGACGGUCUGUGUGUGGCCUAUCGCCCAAGUACGGCCUAUGGCCUGCUAGAGGUAGGUCUCAAACGGGGCCCUCUCCGCUGAGCAACGAGACCCCCUUCCAGCCCCCGGUCUCCCCUGGCUCUUCCGCCCUAGGUCCCUCUGUUCUCUCAGGCCCCUGACUCGUGUGAGUUCUCUUACACCCCUCAGCUUCUUCUCCCAUUGUUCCUUUUGACAAGAAUAUUCCCCCCUCCUGUGACCCCCACAAGGCAAUCUCCUCCCCUCUCUCACCUGGCCCUCCUGUUCCACGGACAGAAAAGUGGAAGCAUGCCCUCACCCCCCCCCAUACCCAGCUGGAAAAUCACUUUUGUUUAGCGUGCAAAAUGGCUUUAAGAUCAAGAUAUUUCUGGAGAAACGGGAACCCUCUUGCACUGUUGGUGGGAAUGCAAACUGGUGCAGCCACUCUGGAAAACAGUGUGGAGGUUCCUCAGAAAAUUAAAAAUAGACCUACCCUAUGACCCAGCAAUAGCACUGCUAGGAAUUUACCCAAGGAUCAGGAGUAGUGAUGCAUAGGGGCACUUGCACCCCAAUGUUUAUAGCAGCACUCUCAACAAUAGCCAAAUUAUGGAAAGAACCUAAAUGUCCAUCAACUGAUGAAUGGAUAAAGAAAUUGUGGUUUAUAUACACAAUGGAGUACUAUGUGGCAAUGAGAAAGAACGAAAUAUGGCCCUUUGUAGCAACAUGAAUGGAACUGGAGAGUGUGAUGCUAAGUGAAAUAAGCCAUACAGAGAAAGACAGAUACCAUGUUUUCACUCUUAUGUGGAUCCUGAGAAACUUAACAGAAACCCAUGGGGGAGGGGAAGGAAAAAAAAAAAAAGAGGUUAGAGUGGGAGAGAGCCAAAGCAUAAGAGACUCUUAAAAACUGAGAACAGGGGCGCCUGGGUGGCUCAGUCGGUUAAGCGUCCGACUUCAGCUCAGGUCACGAUCUCGUGGUCUGUGAGUUUGAGCCCCGCGUCAGGCUCUGGGCUGAUGGCUCAGAGCCUGGAGCCUGCUUCUGGUUCUGUGUCUCCCUCUCUCUCUGCCCCUCCCCCGUUCAUGCUCUCUCUCUGUCUCAAAAAUAAAUAAACUUAAAAAAAAACAAACUGAGAACAAACUGAGGGUUGAUGGGGGUGGGAGGAGGGGAGGGUGGGUGAUGGGUAUUGAGGAGGGCACCUUUUGGGAUGAGCACUGGGUGUUGUUUGGAAACCAAUUUGACAAUAAAUUUCAUAUAUUGAAAAAAAAAGAUCAAGAUAUUUCACGUACAAGUUCAGCUUAUUUUACAAACCAGAAGAUCUGGCAAUAGCUGGAUCCCACUAGUGCGUGGCCAUAAUGAGCUGGAUCAGCCGCUGUCCUUGUUAGAUGCCGCAGAAGCAUCACAUUUCUCCAAGGUCUUCUCUACUCCCUCCUGCACCCUGGCUUUACAGUAUACCUCUGGGGUACGCUGUACCUUUUCUAAAUCUCUCCUUUUUAUUCUAAUAUGCUGCCACCACAAUUAUUUAUUUGCACAUGGCUCUUCCUGUUAAACUUGAGGGUAGGGUCUGUGUUCUGUCCAUCUUUCUUGGCACAGUUUCUGGCUCAGAGUAGGUAAAUGCUGAACAAGUAUCUGAACAUCGCUCAGUCAGUCACCCCCCACUGCUUUUGUGACAUUAGCUGACAGAGACACAACUGGAGGGACCGCACCGUGCCAAACAAACUUUGACAACUGCUGGGGUCCACAAAAACCAGCUGGCACAUGGGGAGGAAGUCAAUAAGGAGAAAGCUAGAGGAGAAACUCACCUUUGAGUGGAUACCAAGAGUAGCCAUUUGUAAUUCCAUUAGGAAAGUUCAUCUUAGUUUUACACUGAUCUCCUUUCUUCAUGGUGGGAUUUCUUGAAGCAUAGGUAUGUGCAAGGUGUUGAAACACAUCGUCAUCAGGGGUUAUGCUACGGGAGUAUAACGUCCCAGUUGCUGUGUGUGAAAAACAAACCGAGGCCUUUCGGUUGGUGUUGGAGGACGUGGAAACACGCAGCGCCCGGUCAGCAAACUUGCUGUCCGGUCACACAGGAAGGCUCUACUUUACUAGAGGGAAGCCCACCCCCUGCCAUGAACGCUCCGCUCCCUUCUGCUCUUUCUCCUAGUUUUUAGGGAAUAUACGCAAAGUAGCAUCACACAAAAUACACCACAGCCAUAUUCAAAGGACUCCUCCAUCAGCUCAUAAGUACCCUCUUAGUCCCUCUUGCUAAUUUCUGGAGGGCAGGAAACUUUCCUUACGUACCAGGGGGG